rnacentral:lncRNA from 1 species
AGGCGAGACUUGCCACACAUGUCCAGCUGGUGAACCGGCUCUGAUACCAAAUGUAACGACCCAGCCCACUAGCAACAAUAACUCGUUGGGCCCAAACCACCAGCCCAAAAUGCUUAAGCCCAGUUAUUAUUACUAGUGUCUAAGUCUCUUAUAAACCCAAUGACAACCCCAUUCCCAUCCGAUGUGGGACUAUUGGGGUGUCACAGUUUUAAACUGAAAAGGGACCCUGGGGCGUGACAGAGAGAGAGAGAGAGAGAGAGAGAGAAAGAGAGGGAGAGAGAGAGAGAGAGAUUGAGAGAGAGAGAAAGAGAGAGAGAAGAGCUACUAUGCUAUCGGAAGCAUAGAGGAUCU